AUUGAACGCUGGCGGCAUGCCUUACACAUGCAAGUCGAACGGCAGCGGGGACUUCGGUCCGCCGGCGAGUGGCGAACGGGUGAGUAAUGUAUCGGAACGUACCUUUCAGUGGGGGAUAACGUAGCGAAAGUUACGCUAAUACCGCAUAUUCUCUGAGGAGGAAAGCAGGGGACCUUCGGGCCUUGUGCUGAUGGAGCGGCCGAUAUCAGACUAGCUAGUUGGUGAGGUAAAGGCUCACCAAGGCGACGAUCUGUAGCGGGGCUGAGAGGAUGAUCCGCCACACUGGGACUGAGACACGGCCCAGACUCCUACGGGAGGCAGCAGUGGGGAAUUUUGGACAAUGGGCGCAAGCCUGAUCCAGCCAUGCCGCGUGAGUGAAGAAGGCCUUCGGGUUGUAAAGCUCUUUCGGACGGGAAGAAAUUGGUGGGGCUAAUAUCCCCAUCGGAUGACGGUACCGUAAUAAGAAGCACCGGCUAACUACGUGCCAGCCGCCGCAGUAAAAC
rnacentral:rRNA from 1 species